AGAGGGCGGUGGCAGCACUGGGGCAGGAGGCAGGAGGAGGAGGCGGCCGCUGGCAACACUGUGCUAUUAAACGUAUGGAUGUCAGCGUCGGCGGCGACUAGCGUCUCCCUCACAUAUAUAACCAUCUCGUCUGUAACAGAUGAGAAGUGUUUGCCAACAUGGGUGAUGGAAUGUUAUCGUUGUCGUGGAAUAACCACCGAGCCACAUUUUGUCACAUCCUUGCAACACUUAGGGAAAAGGAGAGAUACACAGAUGUGACCCUGGCAUGCGAGGGCAAGUUUUAUCCAGUUCAUAAGCUGGUGUUAUCAACAUGUAGCGAGUACUUUGAAAGUAUGUUCGAACAAACGCCUUGUAAACAUCCCAUUGUAGUGUUGAAAGACGUUAAACCCGAAGAACUUGAAGCUCUGUUGAGCUAUAUGUACGCUGGUGUAGUGAACGUGGCACAAAAUGACUUGGCUAGAUUGAUAAAAGUGGCUGAAUUACUAAAAAUAAAGGGACUGGCUGUACCAGAUGAGCCACCACCUCAGGAAGUUGAAGCCAAGAAGACACACACGCCUCCGUGGAGUUGCCGCGACGAUAGGACGAGUCCUCAUCCCAAGAGGAGGAGAAAAGAGAGUGGGACACCUCAGGGGGAAACACAAGCUUCAAACAGUCCUACUUCACCACAAGCCUCGCCUCAUCAUGUAGAAAGUGACCAUAACCAAGACAAUUCUAGAACUCCUAGUGAAAGUCAUGUUAGUGAACACAGAAUAGAUGUCUCGGAAAGAAUAGAACAGAGACAAGACAUGAGUUCAGACCAAAAUGUAGACUGUCAAACUAAACAAGGAUCACCUCUUCAGGUGAUGAUAGAUGAAACACUAGUCAAAGAGGAGAUUGUGGAUUCAUUAGAUGACAGUCGGGAUAAUAUGUUAGACUCUGCAUUAGAUUAUGGUUCGUUAAGUGCCGAUUCGAGAGUGGAAAACUCGACUGGUGACAAUUCAGCACCAGAUCAUCACAGUCAAAUGUUGCCAAAUAAGUAUGACCAAUCUCUUGUGUCCUCCCAGCCGCAUCUGCCGGAUGCGGUCGUGGAAGCUCUAGCGGGGCCAUCGGGGAUGCAAGGGUGGCUUGGGGGUAAUGAGCUAAGUGGAGGGUUUUCAGCAGUGGACAGCUACAGUGGGGAAGGGAGACAUCAGGACUUGCGACAAUCUCUCCCCGGCCAGCAGCCUCAAGGACACCAACUGGUGAGGCUGGACAGUGACGUUUAUAGGAGUGACGGGAGAAUAACCACAAGGCUGGAAGUGGCCCCUGUCACCGCUAGCAAGAUGCAUCAGUGUAUCUACUGUGCAUACUCCUCUGCCAAGAAAUUCAAUCUUGAUAACCACAUGCGCAUUCAUACUGGAGAGAAGCCAUUUUCUUGCCCACAUUGUCAUUAUUGUUCUAGUACUAAAGAAACUCUAAAGAGACACAUAUUAAUUCACACAGGAGAGAAACCAUAUGCAUGCAGGCACUGUCCAUACCGCUGUACUCAGUGGGGUUCUCUGAAAAGUCAUGUUAUGACUCGUCAUGCCAUCAGCAGAAAGUUUUUCAAAAAGUAGAAUUGAAAAAGUAUAUACUGUAUCUGAGAUUCCUUAUAUUUUUAUGAGUUCAGUAAAGCAGUAACUGGCAAUAUUGAUGUAGUCUUCGGCAGUGUUUCCACACUGGAUUUGGAUAUACAGUACUCACUGAAUAGGUUAUACUGUGCCUAGUACUGUACGAGACUGCAUAAAAUAUACAGUAUUUGUAUAUAAUUUCUCCUGAGCUGCUUGAAAAGGAAUGCAGUACUUGUCUGGUAGACAAGCAGCACUUCGUGUGAUGUUUAGGUAUAAAAAUUACGAAAAGUAAUAAAUUACUCAAGCGCUCCCAAGAUGAUUUAUAGCGAAAUGAAGAUACAUAAGUUUGUCAUUCAUCUUUUUUGGGGGGUUUAAUGCCUUGCCUGAGUUCAUAUGCUAAUGAAAAAACUGUUCUAUAGUGGUCAGCUAUUUUAGCUAGCAAUUGCAGGCUGAUAUAUAUAGAAUCAGUUAUAUAUUUAUACAUAAUAAGUUAUAUAAAUAGUUAUCUUGUCACAUAAAUGUUUAUAUCAGCUUGCAAGUGCCAGCAAAAAUAAUUGACAACUAUAGAACACUAGUUUCACAAGCAUAUGAACUCGUGCAAGGUAUGAGAAUAGAGAAUUAAAAUUAUAAAGGUUAUCAGUCUGAACUUGACAAUGUGAUUGUGGAGACUGGCAUCUGAAAUUCUGUUUCUUACAGUAUCUCAAUUUAUUAUCAUUAUUAUAAAUAUAAAUUCACUAUAAUUAUUUAUUAUUUAUUAUUUACAAUUAAGUGCUGUUAAGGUGAUGCAGUUAAUACUGUAAUUGUUCUUGAUAAAGAGCAGCAUGGCGUGAGAAGGGCACAUAAGUGGCACAUCUUGUCAAGAGCAUCUGAUAAUCAGUCACUGGUGGGGCUGGACAGUGAGGGUCCCAGGAGUGAGGAAAGCGGAGGUUCACGUAUGGGACAGGGUUUCGGCACUUCCAGCAGAGUACUUCAUUGUUCUUACUGCACCUACAGUACCACGGUUACCACCAAU
rnacentral:misc_RNA from 1 species